rnacentral:rRNA from 1 species
GACGAACGCUGGCGGCGUGCUUAACACAUGCAAGUCGAACGGAAAGGUCAUGCUUUUGCGGGGUGCACGAGUGGGGAACGCGUGAGAAACACGCGUGGAACCCGUCCUUGUCUGUGGGAUAUCUUCACGAAAAAGGGGCGAAUAUCGCGUAGGAGAUUUUGCAGCACGGGGGGGGAUGGAAAGUUUCGGCGGUUGGAGAUGGACUCGCGGCUUAUCCGCUGGUUGGUGGGGUAGUGGCUGACCAAGGCUUUGACGGGUAGCCGGCCUGAGAGGGUGACCGGCGACAAUGGGACUGAGAUACGGCCCAGACUCCUACGGGAGGCAGAAGUGGGGAAUAUUGCACAAUGGGCGGGAGCCUGAUGCAGCAACGCCGCGUGCGGGAUGACGUCCUUCGAGUUGUAAACCGCCUUCGCCUGUGACGAAGCGUGAGUGACGGUAAUGGGUAAAGAAGCACCGGCUAACUACGUG